rnacentral:lncRNA from 10 species
AAAGGAAAUUCAAUGAGAAACAAUAUUCAGGUCAGGUCAAAGCCUAGAGAAAAAUGCGCAUUCAGAAGUGGGCUGCCAUCCUGCUUUUUCUGAAGUGAACAGCUGCUGGGUAUUGAAACCAGCCCUCACGGUUGGGUCCCUGCCACCAUGGCAACACUCUGGUUUCUGAGCUGGAGUGGCCAAGGCACAAUGGGGUGGUUCCAUGGCCCAGAAGCACUCUAGCUACAGAUUAGUUUAUUUCAGGACUAUAUUAAGUUUCCCAACUUCUGUCAUGAUAUAGUCCAAAGAGAACCUGGACCACGCAGACAUCAAACAGAACAUGACACUGACCCAUUCUAUCAGUGACGUUGUGCUGAUUGCACAGGACAGAUGAGAGGCUCGUAUACUAGAAGUCUUGUCAUAUGAUACUUCAAAAUCUGUGAUUCCAUGAAGCCAAGAGUAGCUCUUCAACAGGAAAUGAAUGAGUGCUUCAGCUUCUGAUCCCAUUAGUAAGAAAAUACAGUCUUAUGAGCAAUGAUGGAGCUGCAUCUCUUAGGGGCAUUUGAUUCCCAAGAGACCAAAGAGCAAAGAGAAUGUCAAUUUAAAAAAAUCAAAUGUUUCCAUGACUUAGCUAUUUAACUGCUUUAAAAUGAAUGAAUGCUGCUUCAAGUUCUUUCAAAUACCCCACAUCUUGGCAACAACGAAAGGAAUUAACAUGAAGAAAAUUUACAAUCUUUCAUCACAUCGAACAAUGUCCCACAUUUGAAAAGUUCACAGCACAGAUUUCUGGUUACUGAAAGAAAGGAAAGACCUUCUUUGGAUUUGAAUAAACAGAUGGACUUUCUUCUCCUUUUUCUUAUAGUGCCCGAUUUGUGUAAAGGGAGGUGGGAAGAAAACAUCUUAGCUUAAAAGAGUGUCCUAUAAAAUAAAAGGUUUCAUACUUGCCUAUAGCUAAUCUCUGAAGGUGGUUACAAAAGAGGAUUUCUGAAACAUUUUAUAUGCAAUGGCCCAGACAUUUGCAUAAGUGGUCAAACUUUCAAGAUGACAACUUAAAAAUAUAAUACUCCUUUUGGACAAGCUUGUUUUUAAAAUAGCAGCAUCAUUAACUUUGGCAAAUCCAAUUCUUAAAUAUCCUUUAAAAUAGUUGAUAAAAGAAAGAAGGUAUCAGAACUAUAUAAUGGUUGCACUGCAUUUUUUAAAACCUCUUAUUUUGAAAUAAUUUUAGAAUCACAGAAAGUUGCAAAUAUAGUAUAAGGAGUCCCAUGUGCCCUACAUGAUGACAUCUUAUAAAGGGAUAGUAUAAUAUCAAAACCAAGAAAUUGACAUUGGCACA